GUCAAAACCAGAAGCUGUGGGAUGAAGUGCUUUCACAUCUUGUGGAAGGACCAAAUUUUCUGAAAAAAUUGGAACAAUCUUUUAUGUGCGUUUGCUGUCAGGAGCUAGUUUACCAGCCUGUGACAACUGAGUGCUUCCACAAUGUCUGUAAAGAUUGCCUACAGCGCUCCUUUAAGGCACAGGUUUUCUCCUGCCCUGCUUGCCGGCAUGAUCUUGGCCAGAAUUACAUCAUGAUUCCCAAUGAGAUUCUGCAGACUCUACUUGACCUUUUCUUCCCUGGCUACAGCAAAGGACGAUGAUCUGCCUGCUUUCACUGUGUUGUUCAUGGUGGCUUUUUGGACAAUAAAGAAUCUAAAAUGGGUGGGGAGGGUGGAAGAAAUGGUGGACUGUAUCUCUCACGUUCUGAAGCAGCUAAUCCUCUUUCCCACAUAGCCAUCAUCUUGUGUGUGUAGUAAGAGGCCCAUUUCUCAACUGUCUUUUAAAUAUCUAAAGGUAGUUCCUGUAACAACUAGUUUUAAUGAGUAAAAAGUCAAAGCCUCAGCUCUAGUUGAUAUCCAAGUUAUGAUUUAUUUUGCAACUACCUCAGGACAGAAAAGAUUUAUGGGGAUUUUAAAAAUCAUUGAAUAACUAGUUAAAUGAAAUUUUAGCUACACACUGCCUCCCAAAUAUUAGUUGUGCCUGGUUCUUGUAAUUUGAUUUUACAGAAAAGGAAAUGACACUUGAGAUCCUUGGAAUGAACACAGCUUCUAAAGUGUGCAUAUACUUUUUUAACGUCUCUUCUUCCAUUACAAUGUGUGUUUUGCAAGGACAGGUUCAUUUUUUUUAGCCCACUUUGUGAACUCCAUUGUGCUUUUUUCUGGUGUUUUAUGCAAGUUGACUACUAAUGACUAAUGAGAACAAUAAUGAAUGCAUUGUUGCUGCAUUAGUGUAAUGUGGUGUGGUUUUGCACUUAAAAGAGGUAUUCAUAUGCUCUAGUUGUAAAUGUUCAUGAAAAUCCACUUCUCUACUAGUCGAACUGCUUUUAGUGUCUCACCAGUGGUUUUACAUCUGCAGAGUUUUGAGGGCUGUGCUGACCUUUGAGAGGAUUUGAAAUUGCUUCAUAUUGUGAUCCUAAAUUUUAUAUUCACUAUAUUCCCUAAAGUAUACCUUAAUAAAUAUUUUAUGAUCAG
rnacentral:lncRNA from 1 species